rnacentral:rRNA from 1 species
GACGGGCCCGCACAAGCAGCGAGGCAUGUGGUUAAUUCGAUGAUACGCGAGGAACCUUACCUGGGCUUAAAUGUAGAGUGCAUUUUUUAGAGAUAGAAAUUCCCUUCGGGGCUUUCUGCAAGGUGCUGCAUGGUUGUCGUCAGCUCGUGCCGUGAGGUGUCGGGUUAAGUCCCAUAACGAGCGCAACCCUUAUCGUUAGUUGCCAGCUGGUAAAGCAGGGGACUCUAGCGAAACUGCCACCGUAAGGUGAGAGGAAGGUGGGGAUGACGUCAAAUCAGCACGGCCCUUAUGUCCAGGGCUACACACGUGUUACAAUGGCCGGCACAGAGGGCAGCUACCUGGUGACAGGAUGCUAAUCUCGAAAACCGGUCUCAGUUCGGAUCGAAGUCUGCAACUCGACUUCGUGAAGCUGGAUUCGCUAGUAAUCGCGCAUCAGCCAUGGCGCGGUGAAUACGUUCCCGGGCCUU